rnacentral:rRNA from 1 species
GACAGAGGGUGCAAACGUUGUUCGGAAUUACUGGGCGUAAAGCGCGUGUAGGCGGCUUGGCAAGUCGGGUGUGAAAGCCCUGGGCUCAACCUAGGAAGUGCACUCGAAACUGCCUCGCUUGAGUGUCGGAGAGGGUAGUGGAAUUCUCGGUGUAGAGGUGAAAUUCGUAGAUAUCGAGAGGAACACCGGUGGCGAAGGCGGCUACCUGGACGACUACUGACGCUGAGACGCGAAAGCGUGGGGAGCAAACAGG